AUUGAACGCUGGCGGCAGGCCUAACACAUGCAAGUCGAACGAGUGGCGGACGGGUGUGUAAUGUCUGGGAAACUGCCUGAUGGAGGGGGUUAACUACUGGAAACGGUAGCUAAUCCCGCAUACCAUCGGAUGUGCCCAGAUGGGAUUUGCUAGUAGGUGGGGUAAAGGCUCCCCCAGGCGACGAUCCCUAGCUGGUCUGAGAGGAUGACCAGCCACACUGGAACUGAGACACGGUCCAGACUCCUACGGGAGGCAGCAGGGGGGAAGAUGGGACAAUGGGCGCAAGCCUGAUGCAGCCAUGCCGCGUGUAUGAAGAAGGCCUGCGGGUUGUAAAGUACUUUAAGCGGGGAGGCGUUACCCGCAGAAGAAGCACCGGCUAACUCCGUGCCAGCAGCCGCGGUAAUAC
rnacentral:rRNA from 1 species